ACCCAGACCGCCAGCUAAGGUCCCAAAGUCAUGGUUAAGUGGGAAACGAUGUGGGAAGGCCCAGACAGCCAGGAUGUUGGCUUAGAAGCAGCCAUCAUUUAAAGAAAGCGUAAUAGCUCACUGGUCGAGUCGGCCUGCGCGGAAGAUGUAACGGGGCUAAACCAUGCACCGAAGCUGCGGCAGCGACACUAUGUGUUGUUGGGUAGGGGAGCGUUCUGUAAGCCUGUGAAGGUGGCCUGUGAGGGUUGCUGGAGGUAUCAGAAGUGCGAAUGCUGACAUAAGUAACGAUAAAGCGGGUGAAAAGCCCGCUCGCCGGAAGACCAAGGGUUCCUGUCCAACGUUAAUCGGGGCAGGGUGAGUCGACCCCUAAGGCGAGGCCGAAAGGCGUAGUCGAUGGGAAACAGGUUAAUAUUCCUGUACUUGGUGUUACUGCGAAGGGGGGACGGAGAAGGCUAUGUUGGCCGGGCGACGGUUGUCCCGGUUUAAGCGUGUAGGCUGGU
rnacentral:rRNA from 1 species